rnacentral:rRNA from 1 species
UAGGCUCACCAAGGCGACGAUGCGUAGCCGACCUGAGAGGGUGAUCGGCCACAUUGGGACUGAGACACGGCCCAGACUCCUACGGGAGGCAGCAUG